rnacentral:rRNA from 1 species
UAGGGAAUCUUCGGCAAUGGACGGAAGUCUGACCGAGCAACGCCGCGUGAGUGAAGAAGGUUUUCGGAUCGUAAAGCUCUGUUGUUAGAGAAGAACGUUGGUAGGAGUGGAAAAUCUACCAAGUGACGGUAACUAACCAGAAAGGGACGGCUAACUACGUGCCAGCAGCCGCGGUAAUACGUAGGUCCCGAGCGUUGUCCGGAUUUAUUGGGCGUAAAGCGAGCGCAGGCGGUUCUUUAAGUCUGAAGUUAAAGGCAGUGGCUUAACCAUUGUACGCUUUGAAAACUGGAGGACUUGAGUGCAGAAGGGGAGAGUGGAAUUCCAUGUGUAGCGGUGAAAUGCGUAGAUAUAUGGAGGAACACCGGUGGCGAAAGCGGCUCUCUGGUCUGUAACUGACGCUGAGGCUCGAAAGCGUGGGGAGCAAACAGGAUUAGAUACCCUGGUAGUCCACGCCGUAAACGAUGAGUGCUAGGUGUUAGGCCCUUUCCGGGGCUUAGUGCCGCAGCUAACGCAUUAAGCACUCCGCCUGGGGAGUACGACCGCAAGGUUG